GACGAACGCUGGCGGCGUGCUUAACACAUGCAAGUCGAACGGAAAGGCCCUGCUUUUGUGGGGUGCUCGAGUGGCGAACGGGUGAGUAACACGUGAGUAACCUGCCCUUGACUUUGGGAUAACUUCAGGAAACUGGGGCUAAUACCGGAUAGGAGCUCCUGCUGCAUGGUGGGGGUUGGAAAGUUUCGGCGGUUGGGGAUGGACUCGCGGCUUAUCAGCUUGUUGGUGGGGUAGUGCCUUACCAAGGCUUUGACGGGUAGCCGGCCCGAGAGGGUGACCGGCCACAUUGGGACUGAGAUACGGCCCAGACUCCUACGGGAGGCAGCAGUGGGGAAUAUUGCACAAUGGGCGGAAGCCUGAUGCAGCAACGCCGCGUGCGGGAUGACGGCCUUCGGGUUGUAAACCGCUUUCGCCUGUGACGAAGCGUGAGUGACGGUAAUGGGUAAAGAAGCACCGGCUAACUACGUG
rnacentral:rRNA from 1 species